rnacentral:rRNA from 1 species
GCCAUAUCACAUUGAAACCACGGUCCUCAUGCAAUCACCGAAGUUAAGCAACGUCGAGCCUCGUCAGUACCUAGAUGGGUGACCGCUUGGGAAUACCAUGGGCUGUAAG